rnacentral:lncRNA from 1 species
AAGCUCUGAUUGUUUGUAUAGAAGGAUAUCGGACAGCUGAUUGCAUAGUUGUGUGAUCGUGCGAUCUCGAGAUUGUCGAAUCGUUGAAAUUGCCAUAGUGGGUGAGAUAAUUCAGCUCUUGAUGGCUCUUGUGAGAUCAAGUGAGACUGUUAUACCAUAUUUUUAUCUGUUCGAGAUGGAUAGCUGUCGCACACAAUGAAGGGAU